UACAGAGGUCCCAAGCGUUGUUCGGAUUCACUGGGCGUACAGGGUGUGUAGGCGGUUUGGUAAGCCUUCUGUUAAAGCUUCGGGCCCAACCCGGAAAGCGCAGAGGGUACUGCCAGGCUAGAGGACGGGAGAGGAGCGCGGAAUUCCCGGUGUAGCGGUGAAAUGCGUAGAGAUCGGGAGGAAGGCCGGUGGCGAAGGCGGCGCUCUGGAACAUUACUGACGCUGAGACACGAAAGCGUGGGGAGCAAACAGG
rnacentral:rRNA from 1 species